GUGCAGGAAUAGGGCAUUCGCGUUCUUGUUCGCCGAUGGCUCCAGUGAGGAACUGAGCUCGCUGCAGGCGGAGGAACUGGCUGGGCCGGUGCCCUUCGUCAUGGCUGGCGUCAGCUAGUUCAGAAUCGUUGGUCUAGCAGCAGCUAGGUGCCUAGGUAACAGCAGCUUGCACAGGUAUAGUGAAUGUGCCAUCUGUGAGAUCUAUGGUGAAAUAAUCUCAUAGUGAAUGCCAUAUCUUUGUGAUACAUUUAAGGGACCUGUGUAUAGUGAAUGCAUGUGUGAACUCCAUGUUCCUGCAACUCUGCAAGUAUCUAUGAUGAAAAACAAUUUAUGGUUUGAUUUGAUC